rnacentral:lncRNA from 1 species
GAGUUGUUAAGUGUUUAGCUGCAACUCAGACAAAAACAGUAUGCAGAGAAACUCGCACUCUGCCUGCCAGUAGAAACUGACUACAGUGGAGAACAGAGCCAUGGGGGCUUCGGGCAGCACCGAAGAUGGGAAGGUCCUGGAAGGCCUUCAUAGGAGUGGAGCAGAGCUGGAAGCCAGGCUGCCAGGCCAGAAGCCAACUGCUGCAGUCCUGCUUGGAUAAGGAAGCUGGCGUUUGGGCUAGAGUGGCUGUGGAGGUGACUGUGAGAAAGUGGGUUUGAGCUGCACUGUCCUCAAUCUUCAUGCGGGUUCCGGGGCCUCUGUAGACAUCAAAGUCCUCAGAUGCCCAAGUCAUUAAAGGAUUCUGGCUCUUCCUUUGAAUAUUC